rnacentral:rRNA from 1 species
CCUACGCGUGGCAGCAGUGAGGAAUAUUGGUCAAUGGCCGGAAGGCUGAACCAGCCAUGCCGCGUGAAGGUCAGUGCCCUAUGGGCGUUAAACUUCUUUUGUGCGGGAGCAAUAAUGGUCACGUGUGGACAGACGCGAGUGCCGUACGAAUAAGCAUCGGCUAACUCCGUGCCAGCGGCCGCGGUAAUACGGGGGAUGCAAGCGUUAUCCGGAUUUAUUGGGUUUAAAGGGUGCGUAGGCUGUGAGGUAAGUCAGCGGUGAAAUGCCCCCGCUCAACGGGGUGAAGUGCCAUUGAUACUGCCUUGCUGGAAUGCGGAUGCCGUGGGAGGAAUGUGUGGUGUAGCGGUGAAAUGCAUAGAUAUCACACAGAACACCGAUUGCGAAGGCAUCUCACGAAUCCGCGAUUGACGCUGAUGCACGAAAGCGUGGGUAUCAAACAGGAUUAGAUACCCCUGGUAGUC